rnacentral:rRNA from 1 species
UACGUAGGGGGCGAGCGUUGUCCGGAUUUAUUGGGCGUAAAGAGCGCGUAGGCGGUGCGUCAAGUUCGUGGUGAAAUCUCCCGGCUCAACUGGGAGGGUGUCACGGAAACUAGCGUGCUGGAGGACGGCAGAGGAAGGUGGAAUUCCCGGUGUAGUGGUGAAAUGCGUAGAGAUCGGGAGGAACACCAGUGGCGAAAGCGGCCUUCUGGGCCGGCCCUGACGCUGAGGCGCGAAAGCGUGGGGAGCGAACCGG